AUUUCGAUCAUUCUUACAGCCAGCACAUGGACAAUACAUAAAACCAUCCGCCCGCUUGUUUGCCUUAGUCGCGUCCAGAAAAGUACCCACGCCAGUAAUGAACUGGGGAGAGCAUCGGUCAUCGUACACCCAUUGCCGUUUCAUCUUCAUCACACAACACCGAAAAGACCAAAUUAAUACAAGUUCAUACAUAAAGUUCAUACACACUUGUUCUCAUAAAACAACAUACAAAACUCUAGCUAAAGCAUUUAAAUGCAACAACAAAUGCGAUCAAGAUCGCAACUAAGGUAACAAUUGAUCCAACAGCAUAGUGAUACCAAGCCUCACUAGCAAUGGCAUAUUUUCUAAAUUUUCUAAUCUUCAAGCGCAUUGCAUCCACCUUGAUCUUGUGAUCAUCGACGACAUCGGCAACAUACAACUCCGGUGUCAUCUUCUCUUUUUCAAUUCUUUUCAAAAAAAAUUCAAAUACUCGUUUUCUUUUUCAACUAAAUAUAACUUCUCGACAAGAGGGUCGGUUGUAAUUUCCCGUUCACAUACCUCCUAGAUAAAAAUAUCUAUGUCAACUUGAUGGGCAUAAUUCAUUGUCACAAACACGAAAUGAAACAAAUUAAAUAGUUACAAAAGAUAAUAUACCACAUCUGAAUCAUAAGACGAACGAGGGCCGACGGGGACGGAUUUCAAAACCAUGGCACUAUAUAUCUCUACUCCUAAUGGACGACUUGGUGAAUAGUCCGCGCGGUUAAUUUUCGCUGGUUUAUUUUCGUCAUACUCCCACCGCCGUUUUUUUCGUCAUCGACGUUUUUUUCGUCAUCGCACCACCUCUGCCUUACUCGAUCGAAAAAAACCGGUGCAAACAAAACCCCUCUCCGCCACCGCCCGACACAGCAGAUCGAUCUCCGCCGCCGCCCGAUCGCACGCCUGAACCACCCCUACGCCCAGACCGCGGCGGAUCCAUCCCUGUGACGCGCCGCGGCGGAUCCCACCAGCGGCCUCGAUCUGGGAUCGCCAGGGACGCCGCCGCCGUCGCCGCGGAUCCCACGGACGCCGCCGCCGCCGCCAUCGCGGAUCCCACGCCCGCCACCGCCGCUGCGGAUCCCACGGACGCCGCCUCCGCGGAUCCCACGGCGCCACCCCGCCGCCACCUCGCCACCGCUGGUUGCCAUGGCGCGGCGUCACCCCGCCGCCACCUCAGCCAAGCGUCGCGCCGCCCCUCCAAACCCUAGCCCGCCCGCCGACGGAUCGCUUUCGCUCCUCCACGCGGCGACCUCCGCCUCUUCAAGAGUACGUGGGUGAUUCCGGGCGGGUUUUGUUUGGAUCUGGGAGGCACUGACUCUCCCGUUCGUCGCGUCGCAGGGCUGGUGAGAGAUCUGGAUCAGGGCAGGGGCCGUCCCAGGGAGGUGGUGGAGGCGGCCAAGGACCAAGGUCUCGUGGCGCUGCACUUCGCUACCGGGAAGGGAAGGCCACGGGUGUGCAGGUACCUGGUCGAGGAGCUAGGGGUCGAUGUGGACACCGUCGACGAUGGAGGCACCGGCACCCGGCGGUGCGCUCUCCGGGACUCUGCCACUUGAAGGGGCGAGGAGGAGCUACGGAUGCUAGCGAUUAACAACGUUGUGCAGAAGGCAAGCGCAGGACACUAUUUUGGAUUAGCUUAUAUUUUUCGGGCAAAGUUGUGCAUUUUAUUAACAUGGCAAAGUUCAGACAUUGAUGCAAAACAGCGAUAUGCCUUGAUGCUCGCAGGAAACAGAAACAGAGCUACAUGAGAUAAUUUUCAAGAAGUGUUCACUUAUAAUAUUGAAAUAUGUUUUCAUCAGACUAUUGUCAAGAAUUCUUCAAACCAGACAGUAGCUGUUGGAACAAUAUCUACUUGCAUGACACACUUUCAGGUAGCAGCUUUGAUUCAUCUAUAUUUAAAUUUUCCAUUCUGGUCAUUUUCCACAGAUAUCUUCUGCUGAUUUCUUUCUUUAUUACUAUUGUCAAGAAGUGUUCAAAUGUGGCAGUAGGUGUUGUCAAAGAAGCAUAUCAUUUUGUGAUAACUCAAUAACCACCAGCAUUUAGUGCAUGGAUUUUUUUUCUAUCAUUUUGUGUGAGAUCAAGCUACAUAAAUUGACACGAGUUUUAUAGGCGAAAAUACACAACCAUUUUUCUUGUUUUGCAGCACAUUAUGAUUCGUUCUGAGGAUGAUCCCCUAUAAGGAAGUUCCCGAGAUGUAUUGAAGUAGAUUCUUUUCAUUUGUUCAUAAUUGAAUCCCAAACAGGACAUUGUGAUAAUGGGUCUUCUCUUUGCUGGUUUUUGAUAGGGCCUUGACAAUUAAAUUACGUUCAUUUGUUUAGUUCUUCUCUGUAACUUAGGGAAACUACUAUUUUAUUCAGCAUUUUCGCUAGACAAUAUCAUGUUGACACAUUCCAAAAUGUUGGUUGCAGCAGCUUGAAUUUUGAUUCUGAAUAUCUGAGUCCCCGAUAUUGUCUGCCUAGGAACUAUUCUCCUUAAGCAACCUAGAAACUUAUUCUGCUGAGAUAUUUUUCGUUGAUAUUGAAUUGUCGAAUCGGAAAUGUAGCAUGCAAAACUUUAAUGGUACUGCUGAGAUAUUUUUCGUUGACAUUGAACAAUCCAACUUCCUGUAACGCCUAUAUGAGGUAUUUCCUGAUUUUUACUUGCAUUUCUUGCGGUCCGGUAUGAAAUAUAGAGAGAA